rnacentral:misc_RNA from 1 species
GUGGGAGCGAGCCUGCUCGCGAAUACGGUUUCAUAUUCAGCGUAUGGGGUGGCUGACAUGACGCUUUCGCGAGCAGGCUCGCUCCCAC